rnacentral:rRNA from 1 species
ACGGAGGGUGCGAGCGUUAUUCGGAAUUACUGGGCGUAAAGCGCGUGUAGGCGGGGAUGCAAGUCUGAUGUGAAAGCCCUGGGCUUAACCUGGGAAGUGCAUUGGAAACUGCAUUUCUUGAGUACUGGAGAGGGAGGGGGAAUUCCCCGUGUAGCGGUGAAAUUCGUAGAGAUGUGGAGGAAUACCGAUGGCGAAGGCGGCCCUCUGGACUGUUACUGACGCUGAGGCGCGAAAGCGUGGGGAGCAAACAG